rnacentral:rRNA from 1 species
AAUGAACGUUGGCGGCGUGGAUUAGGCAUGCAAGUCGAACGAUAUCUGUAGCAAUACAGUGAAAGUGGCGAAAGGGAGAGUAAUACGUAGGUACCUGCCCUCGGGUCUGGGAUAGCUGCGGGAAACUGCAAUUAAUACCGGAUGACGUCUCUGGACCAAAGGUGUGAUUCCGCCAGAGGAUGGGCCUGCGUCCUAUCAGCUAGUUGGUGUGGUAAUGGCGCACCAAGGCUAAGAC